UUCGAUAUAUGAAAGCACUUAACUUUUUUAUCUAAAUACAAAGUCUCUUUCAGGAAUCUUGCACUAUAUGAGCAUGGAUAUCAUCCGAAGUAGGAGACAGCUUUCCAAGAAGGUAUUGUAUGCAUUUAUUCCUUUGCCAAGCAACAUGACCUUGUCGUGUCCUUUAUAGGUUGCUGGGAGAUGUUCUUUACUCUAUUCCUUGAUAUAUGUCCAGAUCGGCAAGCAUC
rnacentral:lncRNA from 1 species